rnacentral:tRNA from 1 species
GCGGAAGUGGCGGAACUGGUAGACGCGCCAGACUUAGGAUCUGGUGGGGUAACCCGUCCGGGUUCGAGUCCCGGCUUUCGCA